ensembl:processed_transcript 8030451A03Rik RIKEN cDNA 8030451A03 gene
ACAGAAAUAUGUUACAAGGAGGAAUCACAGCAGACCAUUACCAGGAGGUACAUACAUGGAAUAUCCUGGACUCGGAUAGACAACAAUGACUCUACUUUUUCAAAUGCGGAUGAACUUGUUUCCACAUCAUUUUGGCAACUCUAAGGUGAAUUUUCUCCCACGGAGGCCAGACAAGGUGGCCCAGCUAGAGGAGUGGGAUCCACAGACAAGAAACAGAUUCAGAGACAGCCCCUGCUCCAGUUGUGAGGAGGUGGGGGGCCACGUGAAGACCAAGCUGCACAUCUGCUACAUAUAUGUGAGGAGCCUCGGCCUAGCCCAUGCUAUCCCCUUGGCUGGAGGUUCAGCCUCUGCUGUACUGCAAUCUACUUGUAAAAUGAAUGUUCAGCAGGUUAUGGAGGCUCAUCCUGUCGUGAUCAUGGCAUUUGAGAGGUUCAAGCCUGGGAGUCAGCAUGAGUCUGGGCCAGCCUAGACUGAAACCUUCUCUAGAAGACAAACAAACAGAACCAACCAACCAAAACCUCCAAGAACAAACAAGAGACCCUUUCACUAACAAAAAAAGUUUUCUCCCAAAGUGCUGAGAAACAUCAUAAUUCUAGCUAUACUUCAGCCUUACAGUGAGGAGGACUGCUCAGACUAGACACUGUUCUGUCCCCCUGGACUCUUUAUACUUUACAUAGAGUAAUAAUACUGAGUGAUUGCAUUUGUUGUGCUGUUUCCAUAGUGCACAUAAUACUGUGAUAAUCAGUCUUCUAAUGCCUUGCCUACCCUUGCCCUCCAUACCCCUGACUGUCCUGCUCCAUUUGCUUGUUUCUCGCUCCUAAUUUGCAUAUGUAAGAGAAACGUGCAGUGCUUGUCUUCCUGCAUGAGUUUAGCUUAUUUGACUUAGCAAGGUGAUCUCCAGUUCUGUUUAUUUUUCUGCAAAUGGCGUAGCUGUAUUUUUCUUUAUGGCUGAAUAAAACUUCUCUGGGU